AAAUUACACUUUGCACUUUGUUUAAGUCGGUUAGUGGAGCGUGUGUGGUUAACCGGCACACUAACUCGUAUUUAACAAGGUAGGCAAAGGGUAACUUAAUGUUUAUCAUAGUAUCGAUGGAGCGUGUGUGGUUAACCGGUACAUCGAUUGAGGGGUAAACACUUAAGGGUACCAAGUAAUUUGCAUGGUUACUUCACACCUUGUUUUGUGAUCCUCGGCAUCCCAGUCACAAAACCUGAAGGGCACACUCGAUAUUGAAACAUGCCCUUGAACAAUUCAAUGAAUCUCAAAAGAUCUAGGAGUUUCAAAUCCAAUUAAAACCUAAUAACACAUUUCGUUUAUCUUGGCGUAAAUUGGUUAAUCGUCAUUCACCUAACUUCAAAUAUUUUAUAGCUUGGAUUACGGUAUCCCUCUUAUAAGUUAUAAAAAAGUUUGUUGGGUCCUAGCCUUAAUAUUUCAUAUUGGGUGUCAUAUUAAGGACUUUAGAUCAACUAUCUUGAAUAUCUCCCAAAAGAUGUCUAGUUCAGAUAUCUAUGAUCUUCCCAAAUCUCUUGAAACAAGCUUUCCUAAAUGAAGAUGACGUCCCUUGAAAAUCAUACUUCUUCCACCUCCUCCAAUUAUUCUCCCUAACCCACAAGUUCAAGGUCACUCAAACCCUAUUAGCAAGGCAAGGUUUAGGUGUGAUCACAUCUUGGAGAUGUAGUCACAUAUUGACAAGCCGGGAGAGUUGGGUGUCAAAGUCUUGAGAAAGUUAGUGGUUCAAUUGCUUUCUAAUACAUAGUGAGCUCCUUUGGGACUCCAAUGAACCAGACUGUGACAAGACCCUUAAUGAUCUUAUCCAUUUUCUAAGAUCAACUUCCUAAAACUUUAUGGACAUUGACAAUGAUGACAUUGGAUAUCCAGUAAAGCUCUCUCUUCUCAAUGGAAAUGGAUCAACCAUAGUCAACUGGGUUGACCAAAUGGUAAAGAGAAAAGCUUAGUCUGUGAUAGUCUCGUGUACCAUUACCAAAGGGUUCAUAUGUUUAUAUUGCCAAAGGAAGGGGCAUUGGUUGCGAAGCUGCAAAUUUACCUAAGGAUGUUAAAGUCAAUAAGUUUGACUCUACUUCAGAUAAACUCCACUAUCUAACUCUACCAAGUUUCUAUUCUGAGAUUCUUGAUACAUGAUGUGACUGGGUCACAUGUUGAUGUUUUAGGAAUCAAAGAAAAGUAAAGAAACUUAAAGAAAGAAUAUGCUGAAUGUGAUCGCGUAGAUGGAUUUCUAUCGCAUAGUUUGAAGAUUGGAUUCUUGAGCUACAUCUUAGGAGUUAUGAGAUAUUGCUUAGGAAUAGAUAACAACAAGUUUUCAUAUGGAUUGUGAGGAUAAGUUCUUCCGCAAAGUUUUUUAAAAUAAAAGGAAAUUUUCUGAUUUUAUUUAUUUUAAAAUAUCCUUACAAUGGCAUCUGUGAAAUUUUUUUGUUGCUUAUAAGAUUCCAUUAAUAGCAAGAGUGGAAAUAUGAAAUUGAUUCUUUCAUUUGUGGUAAUGUCUAAAUUUACCAAAUAAGGAAAGAUUCUCAUCACCCAAGUUUCAAUUGGACUGGAACUUGGAAUCAUGCAAGUUGUAUAGCAUGAUGAAUGAGAACUUUCAAGUAUUGGAAAAUUAAGACUAAUUACUUGUUCACAUGGAUGUGUGAGUCAAGUAAUGGACUAAGGGAUCGAGUACAUAGUCUUCUGCACUAAUUAAGUCCACCACAAAAGAUGGAUAAGACUAUUCGUCAUGAUUUACUAAGGUUUAGUAAAUAUGAUUAUACUUACAAGCUUAAGUAUAAUUCUAAAACAUUGGAAAAUUUUCAAUGUAUGACAGAAUGAAUAAGAAGAAUCAAAUUAGGCAGAAGGACAAAAGUUUCUCAAGUCUGAAAAGAUGGGAGAGUACUUUAGUAUCAUGUUUUAAGGUCAUCUUAAUGAUUUUGAGACCUUAUCACAAUUCAUCCUCUAAGUACAUUCUGAUAUUCAAGAAGAGGAGCUAUGAAUUGUUGAAGUGGUUAAAUCAAGAAGAUGAUUCAUACUUCGUUCCAAAAACAAUUCUUAGAGUCAUCCUCCAAGAUUGCAACUUGAGUGACAUGUCUUAAAGACGGUUUAAAAACACUUGUCAAAUGUAAGAGUAAAAGUGUCCUAUUCUUGUACAUUUGAAAUUGGUAAGUUGUGAUGUUUUGGAUAAAACAAAGACCAACUAAGACAAAUUGUGUGAAGUGUUUGUCUUGAUUAGAAUCCACACUAUCUCUUGAAUAUCUGACAAGAUAGUCUUAUAUGUCAAGAGGACAGUGGGAGUCUUAAAGGUCUUCAAAGUCUCAAGAACUAAUCAUGAAUGAAACCUGAUGUUCCUCACUAGCACACGACUUGAGGUUCAUAACCUAUCGUGUUGACAUAUUCUGUGCCCAUUCCAAUUAAAUUUGUCUUUGCAUAUGAGUUCUUAGAGUUCUCAAUUGGUUUCUCAACAACUUGGAAGCAAUGGUAAGCCCUUGAGCUGCCAGGUGGCAAGAAUUCAAGAUUGCACAAGUUCAGUCCAUAUGAGUUUGGAUUUGUCAUUAUCCUUGUCUUGUGACUAUGGUUUUGAAAAUUAACAUGGAUAAGAACACAUACCCCAGUAAAUCUAAGUUUCAUAAGGUUUCUCUCCGAUUCAUGAAAAUGAUGGUGAGGAAACACUUUCACUAAGUAGAUUUUAGCUAGAUAGCAAUUGUGAUAUUUGCAUUCUCAAAGUCAUUAGUGGAGCGUGUGUGGUUUACCGGCACACUAACAUGGACUUGUGAGAAGUGGCAAAGGUCUAAACAAUUGAGACUAUGAUUACGGCAUCCCUUUUCAUAGUUCUGAGAUUGUUUAGACACACCUGUAAGCUAUCUAAAAGUAGUGUAUGAUUUUGAUAAAGUUUUAUCAAAACAAUCUAGUAUAAGAAAUCUGAACUUAGGUAAGAAAGUCAGUUCAUUUCUGAGUACAUGUCAAAGUUAGUGGGCACAUAAGUGUCAUGCAAAUAAUCAUCAUGUUAGUGGGAGCAUCAUAAUUAUGAUAAAGAUUGCAAGUUAGCAAUGUUAAUUAUAGAAAACAAAAGUUUCAAUUGGGAAAGAGAUGUUUUUCUAUAAUUAAGGGAUAGGAAAUUAUACUUCAUCUCAAAUAAUAAUCAUCAUGUUAGUGGGAGCAUGAUAAUUAUGAUAAAGAUUGCAUGUUAGCAAUGUUAAUUAUAGAAAACAAAAGUUUCAAUUGGGAAAGAGAUGUUUUUCUAUAAUUAAGGGAUAGGAAAUUAUACUUCAUCUCAAAUAAUAAUCAUCAUGUUAGUGGGAGCAUGAUAAUUAUGAUAAGUAUUGCAAGUUAGCAAUGUUAAUUAUAGAAAACAAAAGUUUCAAUUGGGAAAAAGUUGUUUUGCUAUAAUUAAGGGAGAGGAAAUUAUACUUCAUCUCAAAUCUAUAAGCUUAGAUCGUGAGGUUUUAAUCAUUUAGUCAAGGAUAUAUAUGAAUUUCAUGUUGGAAUGGCUCAACAUAAGGAAAUUCUGUAUAUGGGUCCAUUAUUUGCGUUCUAAAAUUCGAUUAUGAUUACGACAUCCCUUUUCAUAAUCUGAAUUAUGAGAACUUGGCAAAUUGAAAUGGAAAUAUUAUAGCAAAAUACUGGUUUAGUCUUUAUGUGAAACAUCAGGAAUCGUUUCCCAUAUUUUUCGGAUAUAGGAUCAAUUACAUGUGCUAUAUAUUCAUCCUUUCUAAAAUUUUCCAAAUGCCUGGGACAUUAAGAAGGGAAAAGGUUCAGAACUGGAUAUGACUAAAAGGAUUAAACAAUUGUCGAGGACAAUCUAAGGUUUACCAAAGAUUGGUUGCUCAAGGAUAUUGGAAGUAUAGUGAUAAUUCUGGAAGGACCAUAUUGACAUAAUCUGUAAGGAGGCAACUCUUGUUCAGAAGUGAUAGUCAAAAUGGAAUCUGGAAAUGUUUCAAAGUUAGAAUUUUCAAUCUGUGUAAGAUUAAGGAAACUUAAUGCAAGAAGGAUAUUUCCAAGGAGUUGAUCUCCUUUGGAAUACUCUGUAAUGAUUGUUGCCAAGUCUUUGUGAGUUUGUGCAUAAUCGUUACAAGAGGAUCAAUGCAUAUAAGUUUAGAAUCUAACAGAUUUCAGUAAAUGGCAUGAAUUUGGAAUUCUUGCAUUUGCAGUAAGGAUUUGGGAGUGUGAAAAGAGAAUCAUUGAAGUUAUGUUCAAUUGAUCUAGUUCACAAAGUAAAGAUCAUAGACAAACAUAGUAUGCAUACUUGGUGUGUGGCAUGACUAGUGUUUAAAAAAACAUAGUGUACAUGCUUGGAGCAUGGGACAACUAUUGUUUUAAAUUCAAGAAUAAAGUUGAUAGCUGAAACAGUAUACAAUGAAUAAUGUGUAAUCAUAUGGUGAUAAAUAAAAGGUGUUUUAUUUAUGUUCAAAGGGUUGAUACCAUAUUAGAUUCAAUUAUUAUUGUGUUUCACUUUGCAUGUUUUGACUUCCCGAAUAAACUGGGUUAUUCUUCCGGAAUGACUAAGUUAUUCAAACCAUCCACAGUCGGUCAUAUGUUGGAAGUAGAUAUGAAUUAAGACUGUCAUGGGUUGGCUUGUAGAGGUCUAAGGUGUUGGACAAAGGGCUACAACACUCAUGAGUGCUCAUAAGUUCUGAGUAUUGGAUUCAACCCGCGCUCAUUGGAAUCACUUCAUGGAUUUUAUCACGAGUGAUCAUGAGACGAUAAUAUCUUAUAUUCUUCAAACCUAGAGAUAUGAGUUGUUACUAUGAGUUGAUAGUACAUUGAUUGCACGAAAACGCAUUUGGUAACUCGGUGCUAUAAAACGUGCCUUUGUGUAUGAUUCAACAAGUAGUAGAACAAGCCAUAUGAGUCGAAGUUUAUCCAUUCCUUUUACCUUCGGGAUAAAAGCGAUAUCUGUGGGCCCCUCGAUGAUUUGAUGAUGACAAAUGGAAGUGCUCGGCCGGGCCAGGACUGAUUUGAUUUGUUCAAUUAGUCAGUCGUCAUAAAUCGGAAAUCGGGAAACAACAAAUGGACAGAGAGAAUGAUUAUAAUCCAUGUCUCAGUCCAUAUGAUAUCUAGAAUGGAGGAAUAUAUGAUCCCUUAUCUAAUGGACAAGUCAUUGACAAAGGUCAGAGUUCAUCUACAAGGUCAGAGUUCGACAGAAGCUUUUGAGAGCUACGAUUGCCAGUUGGUUCCUGAAGUCAUACGCAAUAAUAGUUUUAGACUUAUCCAAGUGGGAGACUGUUGGAUUAAUGUCUAAGUCCAUAACUAUAAUUGGUAAGACUUGACCCGACCCGGCAUGGUCCAUUUGGGUUGCAUACCAUCAUGCACUUGGAUAGACUAUAAUGAGAGAAAUAAGACACUUAUGGUUAUUAAUAUAUUAUAAGUUCUAGUAUAUUAAUAAUAAGAAUAAUAAGAUUAUUUAAUUAGUAUUGAUCAAGAAUUAAUCUAGGAUUAAUUAAGUGAUCAAAAGAAGACUAAUUAAAUAUAUGGGUUGAUUGUGUAAAUCAUCCAUACUUGUAUAGUGGGCUAAUGCUCCAUGGAUAAUCAAGUUGGGCUAAAACCCAUAGGAUGGUCCAUGGAUGCUCCAUGGUGUAUUUGUACCCAUGGAUCCAAGGAAAUGGAAAGCCAUGACAAUUAAGAGUUUACCCUAAUUGUGUAACUAUAUAAGCAUCUUAUUAUUGAGGAAAAAUCGGCCACUAGUAGUAUUCAAGAAAGGGCUAGCCGAUUUUGGUGAGUGUAGAAUUCUCUCAAGUCAUUCUAAGUGUUUUGAUGAUUGUGAUUCCAUUUGAGGUGUCACACUUGGGGCACUAAGCACUCAAGCUUCAUGAAGACUUUCUACAUCAAGAGGUAUGUAUUCUAUCUUGUUACAUUAUUGUUUUGUAUGCUAGAUUAGGAUAAUACCUUGGAAGUUCUUAUUUGCAUGUAUAAUAGAGAAAACAUAGAUCCAAGGUAUUUAGGGUUGCAUGUACACUUAGGAGUGUUAGAAUGCUCAAAACCCAACAGUGGUAUCAGAGCCUAGGCUUGUUUUCUUGUUAUACCUGCAAUAGAAGCUGAAAAAACGAAUCUGGUGCUGUCUGGCCAUCAGACUCGGCGAGUCCAUCAGGAGACUCGACGAGUCCAUGCCUAAAAAGUGAUGAAUUCGAUCCAACUCGCCGAGUUUGUUCAUGCACUCGACGAGUUGGACCCCCAGACAGCAUAUUUUCGAGUUUUUUGGCUAGAAAUGGACUAGGAACAUUACCCUAAGUUGUUUUUGAACUUAUAAACUUGUUUUUGAUGUGGUAAUGUUCAUGCUAAUCCAUUUUCAAAGAUAAUUGUCAAUAGAUUCAUGUUUUGUAUUAGUUUAAGGUUUAGACUAAUUACAUGAAAAAGUUUGAUUUGAAUUAUCUUGUUCUUAUGAGUUGCUUAGAUUAAUAGAAAUGUUGAGUGAAAUAGUUGUUUUCAAUCCAUUUUAAUCUAAGAGUUGAGUAUAAAAUGUGUUUGUGUAACUUGUCCUCAAGUUACAUGAAGAGUCACAUUAAAGACUCAUAAAACUCAUAAGAGUUGGCAAUGGUUACAAAAUGAAGAGUCUUGUGUCAUUGAAUAAUUUUUUUUGACUCCAUAACUUGUCCUCAAGUUAUGGAAGUUCAAGAGUCACUUCAUUAAAGAAAAAUAUGUAACCAUAAUUAAAUCCAUAAGUUAUAAAAUAAAGAAAAAGUUAGUUCUUUUAUUAGUUUAAAGUCUUCCAUAACUUGUCCUCAAGUUAUGGAACUUGAAGAGUUUUUGGAUUAAAACUACUUUAAACACAUAAGUUAUGGAAUUAAUUAGUUUUGAAUAGUUUCAAAACUUGCCCUCAAGUUUUGGAAUUUGAAAAGUUUUCAAGUAUGAAUACUUUAAUUCCAAGUUAGCCCUUAGAAUUUUAAAAGUUAAAAUUCAACCCUUAUACUUUAUAAUAUUAUAAGUUAAUAAUAUAUAUAUGUAUAAGAGUAAAGUCAGUCUUACCGCUAGUACGCCUCAUUCACGAAGCCGGUCUAUAAGGUGGGUAUAAGGUUGUUGCCUAUAAAAUGGCAACUUAAUGGGUGUCCACUCUCACCCACCGCUUGCUUGACUGGUGGAGGGUCGUUAGCCGAACGGGUUUGACAGGACUAGAAUUCUCCCUUCAUUAAAAGUAUUAAUGAUAAUACUAAGUAACUAAACUCUUAAUAAUACCCAAUCUUAGUUACUUAGGAAAAAUGUGAAUAAGGUGCUAAUCCAUGAAAUUACACUUUACACUUUGUCUAAGUCGUUAGUGGAGCGUGUGUGGUUAACCGGCACACUAACUUGGACUUAACAAGGUAGGUAAAGGGUGACUUAAUAUUUAUCAUAGUAUCGAUGGAGCGUGUGUGGUUAACCGGCACAUCGAUUGAGGGGUAAUUUAUUAAGGGUACCAAGUGAUUUGCAUGGUUACUUCACACCUUGUUUUGUGAUCCUCGGCAUCCCAGUCACAAAACCUGAAGGGCACACUCGAGAUUGAAACAUGCCUUUGAAAAGUUCAAUGAAUCUCAAAGAUCUAGGAGUUUCAAAACCAAUUAAAACCUAAUAAUACAUUUCGUUUAUCUUGGUGGAAAUUGGUGAAUCGUCAUUCACCUACCUUCAAAUAUUUUAUAGCUUG
rnacentral:lncRNA from 1 species